UCCGUAGGGUGCAAGCGUUGUCCGGAUUUAUUGGGCGUAAAGAGCGUGUAGGCGGCCAGGUAGGUCUGCUGUGAAAACUCGAGGCUUAACCUCGAGCUGUCGGCGGAAACCAUCUGUCUAGAGUCCGGAAGAGGAGAAUGGAAUUCCCGGUGUAGCGGUGAAAUGCGCAGAUAUCGGGAAGAACACCCGUGGCGAAGGCGGGUCUCUGGACAGUUCCUGACGCUGAGGCACGAAGGCCAGGGGAGCAAACGGG
rnacentral:rRNA from 1 species